rnacentral:rRNA from 1 species
UGGGGAAUUUUGGACAAUGGGCGAAAGCCUGAUCCAGCAAUGCCGCGUGUGUGAAGAAGGCCUUCGGGUUGUAAAGCACUUUUGUCCGGAAAGAAAUCCUCUGGGUUAAUACCUCGGGGGGAUGACGGUACCGGAAGAAUAAGCACCGGCUAACUACGUGCCAGCAGCCGCGGUAAUACGUAGGGUGCAAGCGUUAAUCGGAAUUACUGGGGCGUAAAGCGUGCGCAGGCGGUUUUGUAAGACGGAUGUGAAAUCCCCGGGCUUAACCUGGGAACUGCAUUCGUGACUGCAAGGCUAGAGUAUGGCAGAGGGGGUAGAAUUCACGUGUAGCAGUGAAAUGCGUAGAGAUGUGGAGGAAUACCGAUGGCGAAGGCAGCCCCUGGGCCAAUACUGACGCUCAUGCACG